rnacentral:rRNA from 1 species
UACGUAGGGGGCGAGCGUUGUCCGGAUUUAUUGGGCGUAAAACGCUUGUAGGCGGCCACCGCGCGUCGGACGUGAAAUCUCCCGGCUCAACUGGGGAGGGUCACGCGAUACUGAUCGACUCGAAGGCAGGAGAGGGAAGUGGAAUUCCCGGUGUAGUGGUGAAAUGCGUAGAUAUCGGGAGGAACACCAGUGGCGAAGGCGACUUCCUGGCCUGUUCUUGACGCUGAGGCGCGAAAGCUAGGGGAGCAAACGGG